rfam:Nematostella vectensis strain CH2 x CH6 NEMVEscaffold_1534_Cont37082, whole genome shotgun sequence.
CCUUCGAUAGCUCAAUUGGUAGAGCGGGGGACUGUAGAUUUAUAAUUGUGAUCCCUAGGUCGCUGGUUCGAAUCCGGCUUGAAAAA